rnacentral:rRNA from 1 species
CACCGCGGUUAUACGAGAGACCCAAGUUGAUAGUUACCGGCGUAAAGAGUGGUUAAGACUAUACCUAACACUAAAGCCGAACGCCCUCAGAGCUGUUAUACGCAUCCGAAGGUAAGAAGCCCAAUCACGAAAGUGGCUUUAUAACAUCUGAAUCCACGAAAGCUAUGACA